rfam:Pteropus alecto contig93980, whole genome shotgun sequence.
GGUUCCAUAGAGUAUUGGUUAGCAGGUAUGCUUUACACGCAGAAGGUCCUGGGUUCGAGCCCCAGCGGAGCCA